rnacentral:rRNA from 1 species
CUCUCAUGUCCAUCUCACCCCUUUGUGCAUCACCGCGUGGGCCCCCCUAUUGGGAUUGUUCCGAGAAGGGGGUUUCACGUUUUUAAACAGACACCAUUUUUUCAAAUGCAUGUGUAGAAUGUCUUACUUUUUGCGAUCACGCGAAAUCAAUACAACUUUCAACAACGGAUCUCUUGGCUCUCGCAUCGAUGAAGAACGCAGCGAAAUGCGAUACGUAAUGUGAAUUGCAGAAUUCAGUGAAUCAUCGAAUCUUUGAACGCACCUUGCGCCCCUUGGUAUUCCGAGGGGCACACCCGUUUGAGUGUCGUGAACACCCUCAACCUUCUUGGUUUUUCUACCGGGAAGGCUUGGACUUUGGAGGUUUUCCUUGCUGGCCUCCCUUUGAAGCCAGCUCCUCCUAAAUGAAUUAGUGGGGUCCACUUUGCCGAUCCUUGACGUGAUAAGUAUGCUUCUACGUCUUGGGUCUGCACUGUUGCCCUGGAACCCGCUUCCAACGGUCUUCGACUGAAGACGAUGUUCGAGUCGCGUCGCG